ACUUCGGGCGUGCUGUCAGGAGGAUAGUAGAGGGAUCUUAUGAUUGCUUGGAUCCAUGCUGACAUACGAGACAAGGAGGACAGAGACAGAGAGAAUGGAACCGUGAUCAUACAGGAGCCACCGGCUGAACAGCUCGGCCUCCUCUCACUUUCUUUUGUCCUGACAACUGAGCACGAUUCUAGCACUUCCAUUCCCAUCACUUCACUCAGCAAGAAAGACCUGCCAAUGUCGGUAUCUUCAUACACCUUGAAAAGCAUCGGUGCAUUUCAAUUACAUAAAUAAAAUAUCAGUAUAUAUUUCCAAUGUAUCUUUUAAAAUGUCACCUUGGAAGCAAUAUGAAGAAUGCAUUGGGUUGGGGAUGGAGUGACGCCAACCACAGAGAGACGUAUAAGGAAGAGAUUGUGUUAGCAAAGGAAAAAUAGAUGGAGAGGCUGAUCCAGGGGCUGAGAUGGAGGUGGAAGGGGCAGAUAUGUUAGUAAUUAGGGAGUAGACCGAGUGGACUUUGCCAUUAAUCCAGUCCAUAACAGUCACUAAAAAAUAGAAGUGCUGCUCCUUGAGUAGAGUAAGAUCUGCUAAGAUCUGGGAGAGUUCGUUGAGCCAGUCUUGGGAGAGAAGGAACAGCAUGGUAGGGAAUCAAGCGACGUGUUGCUGUGUCCUUUCACCUGCCCGCAUCAGCCAUCCUGGAAGUAUCAGUUAUGACAACAAACAAUGAGACCUUUUUGAAAACCCCAGAUCUCACACAUCUGAGUAGGCGCUGGCCCCUACAUCACCAUGGGCAACGGUUACUUAUUCCAACACUGCUGCCUUUGUUGAAAUACUUUCUGAACUCUUUGGCAUCUGCAUUUGGAGUCAGGAUAUGAGACACCCAAUAGUCUGGUCUCAUUACUUGAAGGUGACUUUUUAUUUUUACGGUGGAUAGCUUUAGCUAUCAUGAACAUCCAAACGGCUUUCCAGACACCCAGAACGAGGCUUCAACUAGGGAAAAUAAAUUGGGGACAUGAGGACCGAAGACCCUCAGCUGAGGCUUACGGUUGGGAAAAUGACCACAGCCAACAAGGGCGACUUGUCUUGAAGAGACGCUGGACAGAGACAGCCCUGCUCACCUCUCUCGUUUACAAAUUCCCAAUCCCCACACAUCAUCAGAACUAAUCCAGGCAACUUCGCCAGAUGCAACACUUCAUUCCCAGGAUGUGAGGAGCAAAAGGGAUUCAGAGAGAAUAGGAAAAGAUGCGGAAGCUUGGGAGCAAGAUUCCCUCAAGAGUCACUGCGGGUUUACAACAGAACAAGGUGGAAAACACGUUUUCCUUUAGCGGCCUCAUGGUUCGGCUGCAGAACCUGCUCGAACCAGGGAAAGGUGGGCAUUUUGGAGCAGUCCAGGUUUGGGGGGCUGUCCAAGUGGGUUCAGUACAGGCCGAACAGACACUCCUGGUUGUUAACAAAGGACAAGAAAUGAUAGUAUCAGAAUCUGUGAGCUGUUAAUAGUUACAUUAAUUAAAUAUGAGGGUACUUCAAAAUAUUCAUGGAAAGAUUCAUAUUAACUUUCAAUUCUAUUUUUCCACAACUUUUUGAAGUACUGUCAUACACAUGAAGUGAUGAGCACGAUGCCAGACAAAUAAAAU